GAUGAAGAACGUAGCGAAACGCGAUAGGUAAUGUGAAUUGCAGAAUUCAGUGAAUCAUCGAAUCUUUGAACGCACAUUGCGCCCCCCAGUAUUCUGGCGGGCAUGCCUGUUCGAGCGUCAUUUCAACCAUCAAGCCCUGCUUGUGUUGGGGUCCUGCGGCUGCCCGCAGGCCCUGAAAACCAGUGGCGGGCUCGCUAGUCACACCGAGCGCAGUAGCACAUCUCGCUCAGGGCGUGCGGCGGGCUCCAGCCGUUAAAGCACCCACCUUUCGCAAGGUUGACCUCGGAUCAGGUAGGAAUACCCGCUGAACUUAAGCAUAUCAAUAAGCGGAGGA
rnacentral:misc_RNA from 1 species